GACAGAGGGUGCAAACGUUGUUCGGAAUUACUGGGCGUAAAGAGCGUGUAGGCGGCCAAGCAGGUCCGCUGUGAAAACUCGAGGCUCAACCUCGAGACGUCGGUGGAAACCGUUUGGCUAGAGUCCGGAAGAGGAGAGUGGAAUUCCCGGUGUAGCGGUGAAAUGCGCAGAUAUCGGGAAGAACACCCGUGGCGAAGGCGACGUGCUGGGUUGCACCUGACGCUGAGAUGCGAAAGUGUGGGGAGCAAACGGG
rnacentral:rRNA from 1 species